CCUACGGGUGGCAGCAGUGAGGAAUAUUGGUCAAUGGACGAGAGUCUGAACCAGCCAAGUAGCGUGAAGGAUGAAUGCCCUAUGGGUUGUACACUUCAUUUAUAAGGGAAUAAAAUGUUCCACGUGUGGGAUUUUGUAUGUACCAUAUGAAUAAGGAUCGGCUAACUCCGUGCAAGCAGCCGCGGUAAUACGGAGGAUCAGAGCGUGAUCCGGAUUUAUUGGGUUUAAAGGGCGCGGAGGUGGAUUGUUAAGGCAGUUGUGAAAUUUUGCGGCUAAACCGUAAAAUUGCAGUUGAAACUGGGAGGUUUGAGUACAGUAGAGGUGGGCGGAAUUCGUGGUGUAGCGGUGAAAUGCUUAGAUAUCACGAAGAACUCCGAUUGCGAAGGCAGCUCACUGGACUGCAACUGACACUGAGGCUCGAAAGUGUGGGUAUCAAACAGGAUUAGAUACCCCAGUAGUC
rnacentral:rRNA from 1 species